UGGGGAAUAUUGCACAAUGGGCGCAAGCCUGAUGCAGCCAUGCCGCGUGUAUGAAGAAGGCCUUCGGGUUGUAAAGUACUUUCAGUCGGGAGGAAGGUGUCAAGGUUAAUAACCUUGACAAUUGACGUUACCGACAGAAGAAGCACCGGCUAACUCCGUGCCAGCAGCCGCGGUAAUACGGAGGGUGCAAGCGUUAAUCGGAAUUACUGGGCGUAAAGCGCACGCAGGCGGUUGAUUGAGUCAGAUGUGAAAUCCCCGGGCUUAACCCGGGAAUUGCAUCUGAUACUGGUCAGCUAGAGUCUUGUAGAGGGGGGUAGAAUUCCAUGUGUAGCGGUGAAAUGCGUAGAGAUGUGGAGGAAUACCGGUGGUGAAGGCGGCCCCCUGGACAAAGACUGACGCUCAGGUGCGAAAGCGUGGGGAGCAAACAGG
rnacentral:rRNA from 1 species